GGCUUGUGGCUCAGGUGGCGGCGGCGGCGCCGAGGGACCCGCCUCAGGUUUCCAUGGCUGCGGAAGUGCUUUUGGAACCUAAUCAGGGAAGUGUGACCUUUGAGGAUGUGGCCCUGUAUUUCUCCUGGGAGGAAUGGGCUCUCCUUGAUGAGGCUCAGAGAUGCCUGUACCACGAUGUGAUGCUGGAGAAUUUUGCACUUACAUCUUCAUUGGGUAAGCUCUUACACCUGCCCCUAUGACCUGGGCAAGGCUUGGCCUUCCUCUUUUCUCCAGGGUCAAGUAUGUCUCCAUCUAAACCAUGGGUACUGCUUCCUUUCCCAGUUGCCUGGGUAUGUGCUGUGGUUCAAGGGUUGAGCUGAGUGCAUGUCUACUUCUCAUCCUUAUCACUCCAGCACCUCCUGCCCCGAAGCUUCACAGGGAAGGAUUAGGUAUCGCUGUUCUUUAGGUCAGCCUAAUGGAUCCCACCUGUCAUGCCCUCUCUCUCGCUGGGUGACUGUCUAGUUCCAUGGCACCCUAGUAUUGCUCCCUUCCUGUACCUCACAUUUAUUUGUUCCUGACUGUGCCUGGAAGUGUAGUCACUUAUAUAGU